UGCCUCAGUAACGGCGAGUGAAGCGGCAAGAGCUCAAAUUUGAAAUCUGGCCCCUCCGGGGUCCGAGUUGUAAUUUGCAGAGGAUGCUUCGGGUGCGGCCCCUGUCUAAGUGCCCUGGAACGGGCCGUCAGAGAGGGUGAGAAUCCCGUCUUGGGCAGGGUGCCCGUGCCCGUGUGAAGCUCCUUCGACGAGUCGAGUUGUUUGGGAAUGCAGCUCAAAAUGGGUGGUAAAUUUCAUCUAAAGCUAAAUACCGGCCGGAGACCGAUAGCGCACAAGUAGAGUGAUCGAAAGAUGAAAAGCACUUUGAAAAGAGAGUUAAACAGCACGUGAAAUUGUUGAAAGGGAAGCGCUUGCAACCAGACUCGGCCUCGGGGUUCAGCCAGCAUUCGUGCUGGUGUACUUCCCCGGGGCCGGGCCAGCGUCGGUUUGGGCGGCCGGUCAAAGGCCCCAGGAAUGUAUCGUCCUCCGGGACGUCUUAUAGCCUGGGGUGCAAUGCGGCCAGCCUGGACCGAGGAACGCGCUUCGGCACGGACGCUGGCGUAAUGGUCGCAAACGACCCGUCUUGAAACACGGACCAAGGAGUCUAACAUCUACGCGAGUGUUCGGGUGUCAAACCCGUACGCGCAGUGAAAGCGAACGGAGGUGGGAGCCCCCCCGGGGCGCACCAUCGACCGAUCCUGAUGUCUUCGGAUGGAUUUGAGUACGAGCGUAGCUGUGGGGACCCGAAAGAUGGUGAACUAUGCCUGAAUAGGGUGAAGCCAGAGGAAACUCUGGUGGAGGCUCGCAGCGGUUCUGACGUGCAAAUCGAUCGUCAAAUUUGGGUAUAGGGGCGAAAGACUAAUCGA
rnacentral:rRNA from 1 species